GAUGAACGCUGGCGGCGUGCUUAACACAUGCAAGUCGGACGGUGAAGGCGGAGCUUGCUCUGCUGGAUCAGUGGCGAACGGGUGAGUAACACGUGAGCAAUCUGCCCCUGACUCUGGGAUAAGCGCUGGAAACGGCGUCUAAUACUGGAUACGAGCUGCGAAGGCAUCUUCAGCAGCUGGAAAGAAUUUCGGUCAGGGAUGAGCUCGCGGCCUAUCAGCUUGUUGGUGAGGUAAUGGCUCACCAAGGCGUCGACGGGUAGCCGGCCUGAGAGGGUGACCGGCCACACUGGGACUGAGACACGGCCCAGACUCCUACGGGAGGCAGCAGUGGGGAAUAUUGCACAAUGGGCGAAAGCCUGAUGCAGCAACGCCGCGUGAGGGACGACGGCCUUCGGGUUGUAAACCUCUUUUAGCAGGGAAGAAGCGAAAGUGACGGUACCUGCAGAAAAAGCGCCGGCUAACUACGUG
rnacentral:rRNA from 1 species